AACGCUAGCUACAGGCUUAACACAUGCAAGUCGAGGGGCAGCAUGAACUUAGCUUGCUAAGUUUGAUGGCGACCAGCGCACGGGUGAGUAACACGUAUCCAACCUGCCGAUGACUCGGGGAUAGCCUUUCGAAAGAAAGAUUAAUACCCGAUGGCAUAGUUCUUCCGCAUGGUAGAACUAUUAAAGAAUUUCGGUCAUCGAUGGGGAUGCGUUCCAUUAGGUUGUUGGCGGGGUAACGGCCCACCAAGCCUUCGAUGGAUAGGGGUUCUGAGAGGAAGGUCCCCCACAUUGGAACUGAGACACGGUCCAAACUCCUACGGGAGGCAGCAGUGAGGAAUAUUGGUCAAUGGACGAGGGUCUGAACCAGCCAAGUAGCGUGAAGGAUGACUGCCCUAUGGGUUGUAAACUUCUUUUAUACGGGAAUAAAGUGAGGCACGUGUGCCUUUUUGUAUGUACCGUAUGAAUAAGGAUCGGCUAACUCCGUGCCAGCAGCCGCGGUAAUACGGAGGAUCCGAGCGUUAUCCGGAUUUAUUGGGUUUAAAGGGAGCGUAGGCGGACGCUUAAGUCAGUUGUGAAAGUUUGCGGCUCAACCGUAAAAUUGCAGUUGAUACUGGGUGUCUUGAGUACAGUAGAGGCAGGCGGAAUUCGUGGUGUAGCGGUGAAAUGCUUAGAUAUCACGAAGAACUCCGAUUG
rnacentral:rRNA from 1 species